AUUUAAACAAAGGGAUACAUAAUCUUCAAAUGCAUAAACCGACAGUGUACUAAAUGGCAGAUACUUGUAUAGAGACAAUGUGAAAGUGACUUUUUUCACAACUGUGUGUUUAAAAUUGUUAGAAUACUAUUCAAUACACAAAUGGGUAUUUCUAUAUUGCAAUUUUGGUCCGGUUUAGUCUGUUUACUGUUGAAAUAAGCC
rnacentral:lncRNA from 1 species